rnacentral:rRNA from 1 species
GACGAACGCUGGCGGCGUGCUUAACACAUGCAAGUCGAACGGUGAAGCGCCUUCCUUUUUGGUGGGUGUGGAUGAGUGGCGAACGGGUGAGUAACACGUGAGUAACCUGCCCCCUUCUUCUGGAUAACCGCAUGAAAGUGUGGCUAAUACGGGAUAUUCUGGGUCUGUCGCAUGAUGGGUCUGGGAAAGAUAUUGUUUCGGUGGGGGUGGGCUCGCGGCCUAUCAGCUUGUUGGUGGGGUGAUGGCCUACCAAGGCGGUGACGGGUAGCCGGCCUGAGAGGGUGGACGGUCACACUGGGACUGAGACACGGCCCAGACUCCUACGGGAGGCAGCAGUGGGGAAUAUUGCACAAUGGGCGCAAGCCUGAUGCAGCGACGCCGCGUGAGGGAUGGAGGCCUGCGGGUUGUGAACCUCUUUCGCCAGUGAAGCAGGCCUGCCUCGUUUGUGGGUGGGUUGACGGUAGCUGGAUAAGAAGCGCCGGCUAACUACGUG